rnacentral:rRNA from 1 species
GGCUCAGAUUGAACGCUGGCGGCAGGCCUAACACAUGCAAGUCGAGCGGCAGCGGGUCCUUCGGGAUGCCGGCGAGCGGCGGACGGGUGAGUAAUGCCUAGGAAUCUGCCUGGUAGUGGGGGAUAACGUUCGGAAACGGGCGCUAAUACCGCAUACGUCCUACGGGAGAAAGUGGGGGAUCUUCGGACCUCACGCUAUCAGAUGAGCCUAGGUCGGAUUAGCUAGUUGGUGGGGUAAUGGCUCACCAAGGCGACGAUCCGUAACUGGUCUGAGAGGAUGAUCAGUCACACUGGAACUGAGACACGGUCCAGACUCCUACGGGAGGCAGCAGUGGGGAAUAUUGGACAAUGGGCGAAAGCCUGAUCCAGCCAUGCCGCGUGUGUGAAGAAGGUCUUCGGAUUGUAAAGCACUUUAAGUUGGGAGGAAGGGCAGUAAGUUAAUACCUUGCUGUUUUGACGUUACCAACAGAAUAAGCACCGGCUAACUUCGUGCCAGCAGCCGCGGUAAUACGAAGGGUGCAAGCGUUAAUCGGAAUUACUGGGCGUAAAGCGCGCGUAGGUGGUUCAGCAAGUUGGAGGUGAAAUCCCCGGGCUCAACCUGGGAACUGCCUCCAAAACUACUGAGCUAGAGUACGGUAGAGGGUAGUGGAAUUUCCUGUGUAGCGGUGAAAUGCGUAGAUAUAGGAAGGAACACCAGUGGCGAAGGCGACUACCUGGACUGAUACUGAC